GAUGAAGAACGUAGCGAAAUGCGAUAAGUAAUGUGAAUUGCAGAAUUCAGUGAAUCAUCGAAUCUUUGAACGCAUCUUGCGCUCCUUGGUAUUCUGAGGAGCAUGCCUGUUUGAGUGUCAUUAAAUUCUCAACUACACUGACUUUGAAUUGGUGUGGCUUGGAUUUGGGGGGAAAAUUGUUGUGGGCUUUUUGUAUAGUCUGCUCCCCUGAAAUUAAUUAGCGGUACCUUUGUGGAGCUGUCUACAGGUGUGAUAAUUAUCUACAUCUUAGACAUCUGCUGGAAUGCUGCUUUCUAAACCUUACUUGUAUUGACAAUCUUGACCUCAAAUCAGGUAGGACUACCCGCUGAACUUAAGCAUAUCAAUAAGCGGAGGA
rnacentral:misc_RNA from 1 species